rnacentral:tRNA from 1 species
GGAGGGAUGGCCGAGUGGUCGAAGGCGGCGGUCUUGAAAACCGCUGAGGUGCAAGCCUCCGUGGGUUCGAAUCCCACUCCCUCCGCCA